UCAAAAAAAUCAAGAAUAUAUGGUACCGAUUUCUGUUGAUCCUGAGAAGACAACAACAACAAUAGUUGAUGCCAUGCAAGCUAGAGAUGAUGGCCAACAAAACUCUCAAAAAAACAUGCAACCAUUUUCUAUUGAUCUUAAUCAAAUGAUGACAAUAAUGGACACAAUGCAAAGCGGAAACGGUGUUGAUGAUAUUCAUAUGGAGGAUCA